rfam:Heligmosomoides polygyrus genome assembly, scaffold: HPBE_scaffold0008188
GCGCCGGUGGUGUAAGGCGAACAUCGCUGCCCGGAAAGCAGAGGAUGCGGGUUCGAGUCCCGCCUGGCGCA